AUUACGCCCAACGCCAGCGACUAUAACGUGUACCUCUCGGAGACAGGCUGCAACCCACGCCCACUGUACAGAGCGUGGUGUUCCGUCGAGAGCUUCGCACUGCAAAACCCAACAGCCAAGAUCUGGUACGUGAUCACCCCCGUACGUGGACGACACGGACAGCCUCGUCACAAUCCUCAGCGAGAGGUACAAGAAUUUAGAAGUCGUGGGCGCCGACCUCGACAAGAUGUUCACCGGAACUCCGCUUGAGAAACUUUUUAAGUCGGGGAAAUGGACGCGAAAUACACCCUGGCCGGCGAACAACCUCUCCAACCUUCUGCGGAACGUCCUCCUGUGGCGGUGGGGAGGGCUGAACGCCGACACCGACUGCAUCUGCGUCAGGAACGUCACGCACCUGCGCAACACGCUCUCUUACGACGAGAAGGACAGGGUCGCCAACAACGCCAUCAUGCACUUCGAAGCCCGCCAUCGGUUCGUUCUCGCAACCAUGGAAUACCUGAAACGAAAUUUCAAGGUCGCUACGUGGCA